rnacentral:rRNA from 1 species
CAUGUCUUUAUUGAUAAUAAUUUAAGGUCUAAUCUGCUCAAUGAAUAUUAAAUAGCCGCAGUAUUUUGACUGUGCGAAGGUAGCAUAAUAAUUAGUUUCUUAAUUAGAAACUGGAAUGAAUGAUUGGACAAGAAAGUUACUGUCUCUUUUUUAAUUAUUGAAUUUUAUUUUUAAGUGAAAAAGCUUAAAUGUUUGUAAAAGACGAGAAGACCCUAUAGAGUUUAAUAUUUUUUUUUAAUUUUCUAUUAGUAUAAUUUUUUAAUAAAAAAGUAUUUGGUUGGGGUGAUUGGAAGAUAAAAUUAAUUCUUUUAUAAUUUAAUUAAAUAUUUUUAAAUUUUUAAUCUAUAAUUUGUAAAAUUAAAAUAAAUUACCUUAGGGAUAACAGCGUAAUUUUUCUUUAAAGUUCUUAUUGUAAGGAAAGUUUGCGACCUCGAUGUUGGAUUAAAAUAAAUUUUUGGUGCAAUAACUGAAAAAUUAGGUCUGUUCGACCUUUAAAAUUUUACAUGAUCUGAGUUUAGACCGGUGUGAACCAGGUUGGAUUCUAUCUUUAUAUAUAUUUUUAUAUUUUAGUACGAAAGGACCAAAUAUAAGUUAAAUUAAUUGU